rnacentral:rRNA from 1 species
GCGGACCAAUUAGAAAGCUUGCUUUUUAGAUUGGUUAGCGGCGGACGGGUGAGUAACACGUGGGUAACCUGCCCUAUAGACCGGGAUAACUCGCGGAAACGCGUGCUAAUACCGGAUAACACACCGAAGCGCAUGCUUCGGGGUUGAAAGAUGGUUCUGCUAUCACUAUAGGAUGGGCCCGCGGCGCAUUAGCUGGUUGGUGGGGUAACGGCCUACCAAGGCGACGAUGCGUAGCCGACCUGAGAGGGUGAUCGGCCACACUGGGACUGAGACACGGCCCAGACUCCUACGGGAGGCAGCAGUAGGGAAUCUUCCACAAUGGGCGAAAGCCUGAUGGAGCAACGCCGCGUGAGCGAAGAAGGUCUUCGGAUCGUAAAGCUCUGUUGUAAGGGAAGAACAAGCGCAGCAGUCACUGGCUGCGCCCUGACGGUACCUUACUAGAAAGCCACGGCUAACUACGUGCCAGCAGCCGCGGUAAUACGUAGGUGGCAAGCGUUGUCCGGAAUUAUUGGGCGUAAAGCGCGCGCAGGCGGUCUCUUAAGUCUGAUGUGAAAGCCCCCGGCUCAACCGGGGAGGGUCAUUGGAAACUGGGAGACUUGAGUGCAGGAGAGGGAAGCGGAAUUCCAUGUGUAGCGGUGAAAUGCGUAGAGAUAUGGAGGAACACCAGUGGCGAAGGCGGCUUCCUGGCCU